rnacentral:rRNA from 1 species
UACAGAGGGUGCGAGCGUUAAUCGGAAUUACUGGGCGUAAAGCGCGCGUAGGCGGCUUUGCAAGUCGGGUGUGAAAUCCCCAGGCUUAACCUGGGAACUGCAUUCGAGACUGCAGUGCUAGAGUAUGGGAGAGGGAAGUGGAAUUUCCGGUGUAGCGGUGAAAUGCGUAGAUAUCGGAAGGAACAUCAGUGGCGAAAGCACGCUGCUGGGCCGACACUGACGCUGAGAGACGAAAGCUAGGGGAGCGAAUGGG